rnacentral:rRNA from 1 species
UACUGUAAGAUAAGCACCGGCUAAUUCCGUGCCAGCAGCCGCGGUAAUACGGAAGGUGCAAGCGUUAUCCGGUUUUAUUGGGUUUAAAGGGUGCGUAGGCGGCUUAUUAAGUCAGUUGUGAAAUCCUAGUGCUUAACGCUAGAACUGCAAUUGAUACUAUUAGGCUUGAGUUAAGAAUAGGUAAGUAGAAUUUAUGGUGUAGUAGUGAAAUGCUUAGAUAUCAUAAGGAAUACCAAUAGCGUAGGCAGCUUACUGGUCUUUAACUGACGCUGAGGCACGAAAGCGUGGGGAGCAACCAGGAUUAGAUACCCUGGUAGUCCACGCCGUAAACGAUGAUCACUCGGUAUACAUG